GACGAACGCUGGCGGCGUGCUUAACACAUGCAAGUCGAACGAAGUGGCGAAAGGGUGCGUAAUACGUGGGUAACCUGCCCUCCUUUUUGGGUUAAGCCUUGGAAACGGGGUCUAAUAUCGUAUAAAGGGGGUUGGGCUCGCGGCUUCUGAGCGUGUUGGUGGGGUGAUGGCCUACCAAGGCGGUGACGGGUAGUCGGCCUGAGAGGGUACACGGCCACAUUGGGACUGAGAUACGGCCCAGACGACUACGGGAGGCAGAAGUGGGGGAUAUUGCAGAAUGGGGGAAAGCCUGAUGCAGCGACGCCGCGUGAGGGAUGAAGGCUUUCAGGUUGUAAACCUCUUUCACUAUCGAGCGGGUAGGUGGAGAAGAAGCGCCGGCUAACUACGUGCCAGCAGCCGCGGUAAUUC
rnacentral:rRNA from 1 species